rnacentral:rRNA from 1 species
CGAACCCCGGCGCGGCACGCGCCAAGGAAAACUCAAAAGAAGCGUCGUCCCCAAGAUUGCCCGUUCGCGGUGCUUCUUGGGUACGUUGCGCCUCUCGAAUGUCUAAACGACUCUCGGCAACGGAUAUCUCGGCUCUCGCAUCGAUGAAGAACGUAGCGAAAUGCGAUACUUGGUGUGAAUUGCAGAAUCCCGUGAACCAUCGAGUCUUUGAACGCAAGUUGCGCCCGAAGCCUUCUGGCCGAGGGCACGCCUGCCUGGGCGUCACGCAUCGCGUCGCCCCACUCC